AGCGAACGCUGGUGGCGUGCCUAACACAUGCAAGUCGAACGUGAAAAGGGAAACCUGAGUAAAGUGGCGUACGGGUGAGUAACGCGUAGGUAAUCUACCCCAGAAUCUGGAAUAACCUGCCGAAAGGCGGGCUAAUACUGGAUAGAGCGAGGGAACUCGUAAGAGAGUUUUUCGGGAAAGGGAGCCCGCAAGGGCCUUCGUUCUGGGAUGAGCCUGCGUCUCAUUAGCUAGUUGGUAAGGUAACGGCUUACCAAGGCGAUGAUGAGUAGCUGGUCUGAGAGGAUGAUCAGCCACACUGGAACUGAAACACGGUCCAGACUCCUACGGGAGGCAGCAGUGGGGAAUCUUGCGCAAUAGACGAAAGUCUGACGCAGCCACGCCGCGUGAGUGAAGAAGGCCUUCGGGUUGUAAAGCUCUGUCGGAUGGGACGAACAUCUUCAUAGUGAAUAGCUAUGAGGACUGACGGUACCAUCAAAGGAAGCACCGGCUAACUCCGUG
rnacentral:rRNA from 1 species